UACGUAGGGGGCGAACGUUGUCCGGAUUUAUUGGGCGUAAAGAGCUCGUAGGCGGCUCAGCAAGUCGGCCGUGAAAACCCGGGGCUCAACCCCGGGACGCCGGUCGAAACUGCUGUGGCUAGGGUCCGGUAGAGGAGAGUGGAAUUCCCGGUGUAGCGGUGAAAUGCGCAGAUAUCGGGAGGAACACCAGUAGCGAAGGCGGCUCUCUGGGCCGGUACCGACGCUGAGGAGCGAAAGCUAGGGGAGCAAACAGG
rnacentral:rRNA from 1 species